rnacentral:misc_RNA from 1 species
GUCCCGGCAAGUCUGUUUUUUAAUUUCAUUAUAAUCUAAUAAUAAAGCAUUAUGUGCAAAGUGUAAGUGAGAUUGUUCCGGAAUUUUAAAAAUAUUUUUAUUUUUAUUUUUAAAGCUUGCUGGCAAUCGAGAUAAACCAUCAGCGCCGUUUUGUUUUGAUGUAACGUACUCAAUCUCAUAGGUAUAUGCCGAUAAUUUAAUAGCCCACCGUUGUAACCGACUUGCAGCCAUCGACGGAAUUCCUUGUUUCGGCCCAAAUAUAGUUACCAAAGGUUUAUGGUCGGUACGCA